UCCACAGUGUGAUCACCAAUAAUUUCUUGAAGUAAUCCCUCAAAAUAGUCUCUAAAAUGAAAGGGGUACGAUUACUUUCACAAUGCAUUGUGUAUAUACAUACAACACUCCAUACACCGUAAUGACAAAGCAAAACACAGAUUUGUUUGCAAAUGUGUUAAUAAAGAAAAACUGAAAUACAUUGCAUAAGUAUUUGUACCCUUAACUCCGUACUUUGUUGAAACACCUUUACAGCCUCAAGUCUUUUUGAGAAUGAUGCGACAAGCUUUAUAUAUCUGCAUUUGGUGAUUUUCUGCCAUUUUUCUCCUCAGAUCCUCUCAAGCUCUGUCAGGUUGGAUGGGGACCGACAUUUGGUGGACAGACAUUUUCACGUUUCUUCCAGAGAUGUUUGAUUGGGUUCAAGCCCAGGCUCUGGCUGGGCCUCUCAAGGACAUUCAGAGUUGUCCAUAAACCACUCUUGCAUUGUCCUGUUGGAAGCUUUCCUUUUACCCUGAUGAGUCCCCCAGUCCCUGCCGACGAAGAGCACCCCCACAGCAUGAUGCUGCUACCACCACACUUUACUCUUGGGAUGGUUUUGUGCAGGUGAUGAGCAGUGCCUGGUUUCCUCCAUACAUGAUGCUUGGAACUGAGGUUCAUCAGACCAGAGAAUCUUGUUUCUUACAGUCUGAGAGAGUCCUUUAGGUGUUUGUUUGUUUUUUGUAGUUUUUUUCCCAGAUCUAUCUUGACACAAUCCUGUCUCUGAGCUCUACAGGCAGUUCUUUUGAUCUCAUGGCUUGAUUUUCACUCUGAUAUGCAUUUUCAGCUGUUAGACCUUUUAUUGAGAGCUGUGUGCUUUUCCAAAUCAUACUCAUUCAAUUGAAUUUGCCACACAGGUUAAUUCCACUAGAAGUGUAGUAACAUCUACAAAUGAAAUUGGAAUGCUCCUGAGCGAAGUGUCCCAGAAAAGAGUACAAAUACAUUUGCCAUAUCAGACAAAUCACAAUAAAGAAGAACCUCUAAGUAAUGGUGUAAAGAAGAAUAUCAUUUUAUUAUUCAACUGAAUACAGAUGUUGUAGCAUUUUACCACUUGUCACAGAACUGCAUUUAAACAAGAGGUUCUGAUGGACUUCUACUGAUAUUUAUUGUUCUUAUUGAAUAAAUUGCAAACCAAAAAAUUAAUUAAUAGACCAAGGGUAUUUUAAUAUGUGCAAAGGCAAAUUAAUCCUUUGUAAAGUUAGAUGAAGCUGCACUUUGAAGCAGAAGUCUGGAUGCUGUUACAUGCUUUAACCACAGGGUGGCCUCAUGACAUCAGCGUUCAGAGAUUGAGUUUGCUCUUCAACUCUCAACACUAGAGUGGCAGAAAAGUAACUUGUAAAAGUUAAAAGCAGCACUAAAACAGCCUUUUGUCAAGUUCUGUAAUAUAAAAAAAUCACUUGCUGCAAUACUCUAGCUUUAACAUGAAGCUAAACAGUUUAAAGGAUUUCAUGAAAUACUGGAAAAGUUUUAGACAACAGGUCAUCCAAUAAUUUAGCAAUGGUAACUGUAGCAUGAGAUAUUUAUUGGCUCCUUCAUUCCUCAUAUGUAUUAUGUUAUGGUAAAGCAGCCUAAAGACAUUGAAACAUUGAGCUGCUUGUAAAAAGUGCUAUAUAAAUAAACUUGACUUGUUAAUGUAGCAUACAUUUCAAACUGUCACAUAUGAUUAUCACAAAUAAAAUGAAUCUUUUUCAUUACAAAUACAUCAAAUUAAGAAAGGAACAGCAUCAGUGGUUUUCUUCAUAUUAGUUUAUUUCAUCCAAGAUUUGACUAUAAUACAUGUGCAGCUAAGUCGUAAUAUAGUAUUUAUCCUUUUAAAAGUUUCAUUAUGUGAAACAAAUUUACAUCAAAGUAGUACUAAUAAGAAAAUACUGAUAAUUUCAGUACAAAUCUAUACCUUAAGAUUUAUCUGACAAGCUCAUUAUCAAAAAGAGGAAUUGACACAUGAAUGAUAAUGCUUAAAAGCCUAUUUCUAGGUCUCUCAAAGCAGGUUCUCAUAGAUAUAUAUUCUCCUUUAGAAAUGCAAAGAUAUUCACAGUUUGGAAAAUAGCAAGUUAUUCUUCAUAUUUAUAUCCCCCCUAAAGGUCUGAGCAUUAAGUUUCACCAAAAAUGCAAGUGGAAAAAAAAAUUAAAACACCAUUUUGUAGAGAUGAUCUAAAAUAAAAUAAAAAAGAAUGAAAAUUAUGAGGUUUUUUAUGUCAGCUAAAACAAAGCAAGUAAAAAUACAUAGUCUAUUUUAAAAUAAAUAAAACUUUUGUGGUUACAAUCCCAAAUCGUAUGUAGUGGUUAAUGUAAAAUUAAAUUAACACAGCUAAAGACUCCAUUCAGUAUGUCGUUUGUACCACGAGAAUGAACGAUCUGGAUGAAGUGUGAAUGAUCACAGCUACAGUGCGUGUGCUACAACAAGCAGGUUUUGGUAAUGUAAGUGCCAUGAAAAGCUCUGUAGAGGAACCGAGCAGACGCCCAGUGUUUAGAAUCCUCAUCAGCAAUUAUAAAGAGAGAAAUGGGGAGAUAAUGAAAGGCUACUUCGGCUAAAUCUCCAUCAGCAGGUCCUAUAACUGUAAGAGCAUAGGCACAUCUGUCUCUUGUCAGUCUCUUCCAGUGCAUCUGCUGACACAAACUCUGAGAUCUUAAAAGUUCGUAUUGAAGCUUACAGCUGUGACAUAUCAUUAUGAUAUGUAUGUAUAAGGACAAAAAGGGGAGACAUGUACCAACAGUCAUAUGGACUUAAAAAAGUGAUUUUGUUCAUCUGUCCAGUCAUUCAUAUAAGAGGUCAUUUUUAGAAAUUAUCGCUCAAGUAGGAAGGCCCCACUCACUGAAAGUGAAGGAUUUGCAAGGGUAUUGGAGUUAGAUGACAAUUUUAUAAUGAUGUGCAUUUUGCCAGGACUGAACAGAGGGUUUUAUCACUGAGAUUUCAGCCAGUUGAAAGUUAAAAAAAAAAUAAGUAGUGAAGUCUACAUAGACCAAAUCAUGUUACAUAAUUUCUGAAGGGUUUGGCUGGUAAGCUGCUGACGUGGAGAGAAAAAAAAAAAAAAAACAUUAAUAAGGAACGAUAUUGAAUAUUUUGACAGAUAUUCACAGUGAUUCAAUAA